rnacentral:rRNA from 1 species
CACGUAGGGGGCAAGCGUUGUCCGGAAUCAUUGGGCGUAAAGCGCGUGUAGGCGGUUCGAUAAGUCUGCUGUUAAAGUCCAGGGCUCAACCCUGGGAUGCCGGUGGAUACUGUCGGGCUAGAGUACGGAAGAGGCGAGUGGAAUUCCCGGUGUAGCGGUGAAAUGCGCAGAUAUCGGGAGGAACACCAAUUGCGAAGGCAGCUCGCUGGGACGUUACUGACGCUGAGACGCGAAAGCGUGGGUAGCAAACAGG